AUUGAACGCUGGCGGAAUGCUUUACACAUGCAAGUCGAACGGUAGAGGGGGCAACCCCUCGAGAGUGGCGAACGGGUGAGUAAUAUAUCGGAACGUGCCCAGUCGUGGGGAUAACGUAGCGAAAGUUACGCUAAUACCGCAUACGAUCUAAGGAUGAAAGCGGGGGAUCGCAAGACCUCGCGCGAUGGGAGCGGCCGAUAUCAGAUUAGGUAGUUGGUGGGGUAAAGGCACACCAAGCCAACGAUCUGUAGCUGGUCUGAGAGGGCGACAAGCCACACUGGAACUGAGACACGGUCCAGACUCCUACGGGAGGCAGCAGUGGGGAAUUUUGGACAAUGGAGUCAAGUCUGAUCCAGCCAUUCCGCGUGCAGGAUGAAGGCCCUCUGGUUGUAAACUGCUUUUGUACGGAACGAAAAGGUCUCUCUUAAUACGGGGGACUCAUGACGGUACCGUAAGAAUAAGCACCGGCUAACUACGUGCCAGCCGCCGCGGUAAAAC
rnacentral:rRNA from 1 species